CUAGCAGACCUGCACUACAGGAAAUGUUAAAGUCAUUCAAGAAGAAGGACAAUGGUACCAAACGGAAAUACUGAUCUCCCCAAAGAAAUGAAGAGCACUGAAAAUGGCAUUUCUUCAAUAAAGGUAUAUGUUCCUACAAAGAUCUGUACACAAAUGAUCAUACAAGCCUUAUUUUUAACAGUACCAAACUGGAAACAAUUCAAAUGUCUAUCAACAGUGAUUCUACCAGGAAGGAAAACAGAAGUGCAGAACCUUCAGGAACUGAAUCACAAGGUAGACAAAUAUCCAAUUGGAGAUUGUUGCUAGCAAGAGACUGAUGAUAAUACGUAAUAGCAAUUGGGAAGAUAAAAGGAGACAGAAAAUUCAAGCUUUUGCUAGCCAUUCUUUCCCUUUUUGCUCUCCACAUACCUGAGUUGGGAAUCCUUCUAUGUGCACUAUUUAUUUGGUUUGUGUUAUACUGUUAAUUAUAAUGUAAUCUAGAAGGCCAGGAGAGCUGACCAACAAAGAAGAGAAAGCAGUUUAUUCUGACCAUAGUGACAUAAACAUCUGUUUAGAAACACCCUAGCACUUAGGGCCUUCUAAUAUAAGCCCAUUACCAGCUCUUUUCCUUUCUAUUUCAUGUCUCUCUACUUUCUUGUGUUCUGUGUUCCUACUAAAGAUUGUGCUCAAAGAUGACCUGCCUGAUCUGCUCUGCAAUAAUUUUGCUUAUUGCUGUAUCUCUAGUGCCUUGAACAGUGCCUAGCACAGAGUAAGCGCCUAAUAAGUAUUUGAUGAACGAAUGAAUGGUUAUUUUUUUCUGUCUGGCAGUCCACAUCCAUCACUACCUUACAGUUCUACAUAAAAUUUGCCUAUACCAGUAAACUUGUAUCCUUUAUCAAUCCAGUCUUAAACCACUUCAUUUUUCUACAUCCUCUUAGCAAUUAUAGUUUGCACUGCAUUAAUAUACUCUUAUGUCAUUUUUCACAUACAUAUUUCUUCUACAGAUAUAUGUACUUGCUGUUGUUAGUUGCCACUGAGUCGAUUCUUACUUGUGGCAAUCGCAUUGUGCAGAGUAGAACUGCUUCACAGAGUUUUCAAGGCUGUGACCUUUUGGAAGUAGAUUGCCAGGACUGUCUUCUGAGGUGCCUCUGGGUGGGUUGGACUGCAGUCUUUCAGUUAAUAGUUGAGCACUUAACCACUUGUGCUACCCAGGGACUGACCAUGUCUGUGUCUACCUCUGUCUCUGCCCGUCUGUCUAUAUAU